UAUAUAGGUAACCUACCUUUUGAAUCGGGAUAAUUUCUGGAAACGGAUUGUAAUACCGAAUGGUCUUUUUGGGCUGCAUGGCCCGAUUAGUAAAUGGUUGCUCUGCUUCUGUCAGAAGAGGGGCCUAUAUCCUAUUAGCUAGUUGGUGAGGUAACUGCUCACCAAGGCAUUGAUGGGUAGCCGGACUGAGAGGUUGGCCGGUCACACUGGGACUGAGACACUGCCCAGACUCCUACGGGAGGCUGCAGUCGAGAAUCUUCCGCAAUGGGCGAAAGCCUGACGGGGGCGACGCCGCGUGAACGAAGAAGGCCUUCGGGUUGUAAAGUUCUGUCGAGGGGGAAGAAUGCCCAGGGGUUAAUAGCCUUCUGGGUUGACGUUACUCCUGGAGGAAGCCCUGGCUAACUCCGUGCCAGCAGCCGCGGUAAUACGGAGAGGGCAAGCGUUGUUCGGAUUUACUGGGCAUAAAGCGCACGUAGGCGGGUUUUCAAGUCGGUUGUGAAAUCCCGGGGCUCAACCCCGGAACUGCUUCCGAAACUGAAAGUCUGGAGGACGAGAGGGGAGAGUGGAACUUCUGGUGGAGCGGUGAAAUGCGUAGAUAUCAGAAGGAACACCGGUGGCGAAAGCGACUCUCUGGCUCGUUUCUGACGCUGAGGUGCGAAAGCUAGGGGAGCGAACGGGAUUAGAUACCCCGGUAGUCCUAGCCGUAAACGAUGAGCACUAGGUAGUGGCGGCUCUGAGGCCGUCGCUGCUGUAGCUAAUGUGUUAAGUGCUCCGCCUGGGGAGUAUGGACGCAAGGCUAAAACUCAAAGGAAUUGACGGGGGCUCCACAAGCGGAGGAGGAUGUGGCUUAAUUCGAGCGUACGCGAAGAACCUUAUCCUGGUCUUGACAUGCAUUUCUAAGGCAGCGAAAGCUGCUGACCUUCGGGGCUCUUGCACAGGUGCUGCAUGGCUGUCGUCAGCUCGUGUCGUGAGAUGUCGGGUUAAGUCCCUUAACGAGCGAAACCCUUGUCUCUAGUUGCCAGCGAGUAAUGUCGGGGACUCUAGAGAGACUGCCGGUGUUAAACCGGAGGAAGGUGGGGAUGACGUCAAGUCCUCAUGGCCUUUAUGACUAGGGCUGCACACGUCCUACAAUGCGGCAUACAAAGGGAAGCGAACCCGUGAGGGGGAGCAAACCCCAAAAAGUGUCGCUCAGUUCGGAUUGCAGGCUGCAACUCGCCUGCAUGAAGCUGGAAUCGCUAGUAAUCGCGGGUCAGCAUACCGCGGUGAAUGUGUUCCUGAGCC
rnacentral:rRNA from 1 species